GAUGAACGCUGGCGGCGUGCUUAACACAUGCAAGUCGAACGAGAAGUGAAGACGGAAACCUUCGGGCGGAAGGCUUUAUUUCGAGUGGCGGACGGGUGAGUAACGCGUGGGUAACCUGCCUCAUACAGGGGGAUAACAGUUGGAAACGACUGUUAAUACCGCAUAAGACCACAGCACCGCAUGGUGCGGGGGUAAAAACUCCGGUGGUAUGAGAUGGACCCGCGUUCGAUUAGCCAGUUGGCGGGGUAACGGCCCACCAAAGCGACGAUCGAUAGCCGAUCUGAGAGGAUGACCGGCCACAUUGGGACUGAGACACGGCCCAAACUCCUACGGGAGGCAGCAGUGGGGAAUAUUGCACAAUGGGGGAAACCCUGAUGCAGCGACGCCGCGUGAGUGAAGAAGUAUUUCGGUAUGUAGCUCUAUCAGCAGGGAAGAAAAUGACGGUACCUGAGGAAGAAGCCCCGGCUAACUACGUG
rnacentral:rRNA from 1 species